UCUAUGGAGAGUUUGAUCCUGGCUCAGAGCGAACGUUAGCGGCGGGCUUAACACAUGCAAGUCGAGCGAGAAAGGGACUUCGGUCCUGAGUAAAG
rnacentral:rRNA from 1 species